UCAACAUAUAUUCAUGAUUUGGUUUAUUACUUUCGAAUUUUAUUGAAAUUUAGAUGUGUUAUGCUUUAUUGCUUUCUGUGGAAACAUGCAUUGGAAUGGUUUAGAUAUGAGUGAGUAUGAUUAGCUAGCAUCAUAGUAUCAUAAGGUUUGUUAGUUUUGUUAGUUUUGCCAAAUUGGAUCUAGAAAUGGCCUGCCAAAUUGUCUUUAUUUGUAUAAGCAUGGACGGUGGAGAUCAUUUGGUGUUGUCACUUCAUGGAAAUUAAUGAAGUGUUCACUUUGUAGUAGAAUUCCUCUUCAUGUUUUAGCUGCAUUGCAUUGGUAGGAAUUUUAUUCAAUUGAUGUUGUUCUUAUUUUUGUUUUGGUGGGACAACAAUUGGAAAGAAGUAUUCCAUGAUUGGUGUUGUUGUGUAGCUUUUCUUCCAUAGUUUUCAAAGAAGAAGAAACUUCACUGGUUUGAGCUGGAGUAACUCUUUUGGAGGGUUUGAGAUUAGCAAAAUAUUCUUUUGGCAGGAAAGCAUUCCUCUCUCUCUCUCUCUCUCUCUCUCUCUCUCUCUCUCUCUCUCUCUCUUAAUGCCUAAGCUUGUGUUCAAUGGCAGAGCAAAAGGAGAAGCUUUCUGAACUGGAGUAGCAACUGAAGAAAGUUGAGGUUACUUUGAUAGGAGUAUAUUUGUACUGGUUAUGGUUUAUGGGUUGGUCUGGCACGUGCAAAACGUUGAUAGGAGUAUAGGAGAACCUGCCCAAGUGCUAAAAUGAGAACAAGUUCUUAAUGUUCCUUUAUGAUAUUUUCCUCAGUUCUAGAAGCUAGUUGAACUACUUGUUGCAGAAAUUCAGCCGAGAAGCUGGCGCAAAUGACGGUUAGCUCUGGAAGACAACCAGUGAGGCCAUCAGCCACCAGCGUGGAGAAGGCAAUGAGAGUGAAACUUCUCGAUGGAUCAAAACAAAACUUCUUGUACAGAUGCAGGUAUAUGUCGCUAUACUAGAGCAUAGGAGCAUUAUCAUCAAAUAUUACCAGGAACUCACUUUCCCUUUCAAAAAGCAUUGUUUCCUAGAAUUGAUUCUCACUUUGAUUUUGACGGCGAGGCAGAAAAAUAUGGAUGCAUGAGAU